AUACGGAGGGUGCAAGCGUUGUUCGGAAUUAUUGGGCGUAAAGCGCGUGUAGGCGGUCUGUUAAGUCUGGUGUGAAAGCCCUGGGCUCAACCCAGGAAGUGCAUUGGAUACUGACAGACUUGAGUAUGGGAGAGGAAAGCGGAAUUCCGAGUGUAGGAGUGAAAUCCGUAGAUAUUCGGAGGAACACCAGUGGCGAAGGCGGCUUUCUGGACCAAUACUGACGCUGAGACGCGAAAGCGUGGGGAGCAAACAGGAUUAGAAACCCCAGUAGUCC
rnacentral:rRNA from 1 species